rnacentral:rRNA from 1 species
UACGUAGGGGGCAAGCGUUGUCCGGAAUCAUUGGGCGUAAAGCGCGUGUAGGCGGCUCGGUAAGUCCGCUCUGAAAGUCCAGGGCUCAACCCUGGGAUGCGGGUGGAUACUGCCGGGCUCGAGUCCGGAAGAGGCGAGUGGAAUUCCCGGUGUAGCGGUGAAAUGCGCAGAGAUCGGGAGGAACACCAGUGGCGAAGGCGGCUCGCUGGGCCGGUCCUGACACUGAGGCGCGAAGGCGUGGGGAGCGAACAGG